AGGUCACAAGAUUGCGCCAACCCUUACAUGGUCCUUAAAAAAAAAACCUUCUGACACUGCAGUAGUGAAAAUGAAGCGCACGAUGGGCGGAAGCUGUGAGUCCGGCAAAGUUUUAAAAUGAUGACGUAUUUUAUUAACUCUAACGGCACUGGCGGGUGACUGAAAAUACUAGUGCUGUGUAUGCGGGAUAGACAUUAUUUUCCUGCCCUACAUGAGGGGCUCGUGCGCGGAACGACAUGGGCAGCCCCGGCGGAAACUGCAGGCACAAGCCGGGACGCCGCGGGUUUAAAACAUGCGCGUGAGAGGAAGACAAACAUAAAGAUGAAGUGCUUAAUUCAAGGUCACACAAUGUCGGGGAUGGACCUCCAGAUUUCCUUACUGGAAAACAAGCUCAGGGCUCCCACUGAUUGUACAUUAUGACCAAGUGUGUUGGGGACUUGAGAUGCGUACAUGAGUGUGAUGUUUCCUGCUGAAAGCACAGGUGAGACGUGGUCUUGUAACACAGUGGUUAAGAAUGUGACUUUGGAGCCAGCCUGCUAGGGGCUGAAUUCUGACUCAGCCAUUUACUAACUGUGUGACCUUAGGUAAGUCAUUUACCUUCUUUGUCCCUCAGUUUCAUCUCGGUUAAGUAGGGAUAAUGAUAGCACCUAUUUUAUAGGGUUAUUGUGAGGAAUAAAUCCAAGUAAAAUGCUUAGAAUAGUAACUGAAACAUAGCACUCAUUAGGAAUGCUUUAAUUUUCAUUUAUUUGAGUAUUAAAGGUUGAAUUUUCAGAGGUAUUUUGGACCUUUGUAUUUUUUCUUUAAAUCACUUAUUCAUGACUUUUGAACUUUUUUUUUUCUUUUAGAGACAGGGUCUUGGUUUGUUGUCUAGGCUGGAAUGCAGUGGUGCAAUCAUAGCUCACUGUAGCCUUGAACUCUUGGGCUCAAGAGAUCCUCCUGCCUCAGCCUCGUGAGUAGCUGGGCCUACAGGCGCCUGCUACCACACCUGGCUAAUUUUUUAUUUUUUGUAGAGAUGGGUUCUUGCAGCCCAGACUGGUCUUGAGCUUUGGCCUGAAGUGCUCCUCCUGCCUUGGCCUCUCAAAGCAUUGGGGUUACAGGUGUGAAGCACUGCACCUUGCCUACACAUUUUUUCCAAUAAUUUUUUUUAUUAAUUUGUAAGAGUUAACAUGUCGACUAUCAUAUAUAACAUAGAAUUGUUCCCAUUUUGUCAUUUCCUUUCAACUUUGUCUAUGUAGCUUUUUUUCUGUGUGCAAAUUUUACAUUUUUAGGUAGUCAGAAAAUCUCUUCCCUUGUAAUUUUUUCUGCUACUAGACCAAUGUUUAGAAAAAAGCGUGCUUCCCCACCUCAAAAUUAUAAAAAUAGUUACUUGUUCUUUUUGAGUACUGUGUGUGUUUAAAUCUUUAAUCUUUAAAUUUAAAUCUUUGAUCCAUCUGGUAUUUAUUUUGAUAUGAAGAGAGUGGUUGGGAUCUGGCUGUAUUUCUUUUUUCUUUUUUUUUCUUUUUUCUUUUUUUGACGAAGUCUCACUGUUGCUCAGGCUGGAGUGCAAUGGCAUGAUCUCGGCUCAUCACAACCUCUGCUUCCUGGGUUCAAGCGAUUCUCCUGCCUCAGCCUCCCGAGUACCUGGGACUACAGGCACUCGCCACCAUGCCCGGCUGAUUUUUGUAUUUUUAAUAGAGAUGGUUUCACUAUGUUGGCCAGGCUGGUCUCGAACUCCUGACCUUGUGAUCUGCCCACCUCAGCCUCGAAAAGUGCUGGGAUUACAGGCGUGAGCCACUGCGCCCAGCCUUGUAUUUUUUUUCAGUUUGGGUAGCUGUCCCUAAUUCAUUUGUUAAAGGAGAAGCAAGAGCAAGAACCUUUAAUCUGUUCUCCUCUUCCCUAAUUUGAAAGUAGCUUGUUAUUUUGAAUAUCACUUUCUCUGAAAUAGCACAUCUCCAUCUCAGAGAAUGGAUUUAAUGUUUGGAUACAGCCAAAAGUCAUUUCAUUACCAAACCAUGGGGUGAAUAUACCAUGUAAAGCAGUUUGGGAUCAGAACUCACAGUCUGAAUUGUAAGUGAUGAGACUGCUGUCUCUCUGCUACAGCUUCUUGGCUGGCUCUGAAGGCUCUUUGAAGGCAGAUCCUAACAAGGGGACUGCUUUGAAGGGCCAUUGUUCAUUUGGAAUGAUAAAGUCUAUGUUGUUCAAAAAACAAAUGCUUGUAGCAGGUAUUUUUUCACUCCAGACUGAGAAUAUUGGUGGGAUAUUGAUAAGGGGUACUGAAUGGUAAUAAACAUGUGCUCUAGCUCUGUGCUAGUCAGCUUAUUUCAGAACUCUAGUUUGAUUCAGUUUCUUGCCUCUGACUCAAAAUGGAGGGAGAGUGAUUUUUACAUAAGAGAACACACCCACAUAUCCUUUUGGCAGCAGCUACCUGCCAGAGAUGUUGAAGAAGAGUAGCCAACCUUUACACAGCAGAUAUUGUGUGCCAGUCAUAGUCCUAAGUAUAAUACCUUACAUGUAUAAACUUCUUAUAAGGUUGGUGCUCUGUACCGAAUUGAAUAGUAUCCCCCAAAAUUCAUGUUGUCCCAGAACCUAUGAAAGUGAUCUUACUUGAGGGAGGGGGGAGGGGGGAGGGAUAGCAUUAGGAGAUAUACCUAAUGCUAAAUGACGAGUUAAUGGGUGUAGCACACCAGCAUGGCACAUGUAUACAUAUGUAACUAACCUGCACAUUGUGCACAUGUACCCUAAAACUUAAAGUAUAAUAAUAAUAAAAUAAAAAAAAAAAAGAAAGUGAUCUUACUUGGAAAUAAGGUCUUUGCACAUAUGAUCAAGUUGAGAUGAAGUUGUACUGGAAAGUCUGUCUAGUGACUGGUGUUGUCAUAAGAAGAGAGGGACACAGAGGGAAGAUGGCCACAUGAAGAUGGAGGCAGAGAUUGCAGUUAUGCUGCUGCAAACUAAGGAAUGGCUCUGGCCCUCCAAGGAUUGCUGAUAACCACCAGAAACUAGAAGAGACAAGGAAGGAUUCUUCCCUAGAGCCUUCAGAGGGAGCAUGGCCCUACUGACACCUGGAUUUCAAACUUGUAGCUUCCUAAACUGCAAGAGAAUAAAUUUCUGUUGUUUUAAGCCA
rnacentral:lncRNA from 1 species